rnacentral:pre_miRNA from 1 species
GAGACACCCUUAUGGAGCAGGACUUGCUUCAGUGGGUGCUCACUGAGUCUGCCUCUUGAGUGUGUCCCU